CCUUCUUUCAUGACAGCUAAUGGCAGGUGGCAUAGAUUUUUCACUGCUGGUAGAGAAAAAGCCUGAUUUGUAUAAACUGUUUUGCACCAUAUAAAUACAACUUUGUUACAUGUCCACUGAACUUAUUUAAAAAAUCUGGCACCUGUGGACCCUUCCAUGGGCUCCCCUUGUCUAAGGAGCAGUGCCAGAAAGUGGGAGCAAUGCUCUGCUUAGGAAGUUAUGGCAUGGGUAAUUAACAACACUUCUGAGCUGUUUAAACUCGCCCAAUGUUACAGACAAAAAUAGCUGGCAUGACGGUUGCUAUGUUUGUCUGGAGCUGAAUGGAAAGUGACUGAAACACGCCACUAGAAAGGGCUGCAGAAGCAACAAAACACCAAAUACAAGGAUCCAAAGAAACCAUUCCCAGUAAAUCUAUUUCACAAAAUACUAAAGGAAGUAUACAGCAUAGGAAUUGGACCACCUGAAGGCAGGAUACAGCAUGACAAUUGGACCAACUGAAAGAAGUAUACGACAUUGGAACUGGACUGACUGAAGUAAGGAUACAGCAUGGGAAUUGGACUAACUGAAAGAAGGACACAGUAUAGGAACUGGACCAGCUGAAGAAAGGAUACAGCAUAGGAAUUAGACCAACCGAAGGAAGGAUACAGCAUGGGAAUUGGACUAACUGAAAGAAGGAUACAGCAUAGGAACUGGACCAGCUGAAGAAAGGUUACAGCAUAGGAAUUAGACCAACCGAAGGAAAGAUACAGUAUGGGAAUUGGCAGAGAUUUUGUGCUUCUAAACUAGAAAACUUACAAGGGCUGAUGUUUUACAUUACACAACUGAUUGGGUGGAUGGAUACCACACAACUGGCCAUAUACAUGAAUGGUCAUAUUCUGUUGUUCUUUUCGUUGAGGCUGACUGUCUGUAUGAUGAGAAGCAAAGAGGAGCCCCUCAUCUUUUCAUCUUUUGAUGCACCAUGCAACCUAGUCACAUAGUAAACCCCUGAGCUGACAUGCCCAGACAGCCAGGCACUAUGGUCAGACAGGCCAAACAGCUUAAAGUUCCUGCUAUCUUGAAAAGCAGCAAUUCUUCUUUAAAAUAAACCAUGUGGCAUCAGUGAUGAAAAAGUUUUAUGCAAAUAUAAACUGAUUUUUGCCACAACAAUGCUAGUUGAGGUUGUUAUAUCCUUCACAUCUGCAGUUUAAAUGGCACUGCUGCCUGGACAUACAUACAUAUACAUACAUACACCCCAAGGAAAAGGAACUCAUCAGAGAACUGAUGACUGCCAGAAUAAAUAGUUAUGAGCUGAGGGCCAAGCAACAGCCAAACUGAAGUUAAGGACCACACAACAAUUGAUCAUUUUCUUCUAUUCUAUUGUAAAACAUGAUUUAAAUGGCACGGGUAUACUCAGACUCGGGAUAUGAACAAAUGCCUGGGAGACGCAAAUCUCUAAUGCAUUCUGAUGGAUACAGGUUCCUUAUGAAGGAUUCUCUGUUUUUUUGCAAAUCAGUGUAUUUUAUCCUCAGAGAAGUAUCCCCUACAGAGGCAUUGAGUAGAAAGAAAGAAAAAUUGUACUGUUUUUGAAACGGAUAGGGAUAAACCCUCAUUUUUAAACAGAUAGUGUGGUCUUUUGGAUUAAAUGGCCCUCUUCCACAUAUAAAGCUAUACAAGUAGGUAUGGCGGAAACUGUAUUUUAGCUACAAGUACUAGGCUAAAACAGAAUAAUCCAAGUUGCAUUUUAGUAUAAAACUUGGCAGAAGAAGGUUACCUGCUCCUGGACUAGAGGGAAAAGUAAGCUGAUCAUUCUGGGACCCACCAGCUGUAUAACUACCAAGUCCUACCCUUAAUAAUGGUACUACCUAAAACAGCAGACUGAAGGCCCCUGGAUGGACACCACCAUUUUAAAUCAUUCAUAGCUAUACAGGUUGCUUCAUUUUAAUAGGUUUGGGAGUCCAAUGUGGCCUUUUUGUGAGCUACGAACAUUGUAAAUCAGGGAUUCUUACGUAGAAUAUGCAACAAAGUAUCUGGCAAACAAACACCUCCCAAGACCUGGAGUCUUUCAAUGCAGGUUCCAGGCAAAACGCGCAUCUAGAUGCGAGUAUAAUCUUUCUCCUGGACAAAUGCAAAGCUCUUGGCAUUCAAGGGGUUUUUCCAAACUUUUGUUUCCUUUUAUUUCACAUUCAUCCCGUUCUGUGGACAGCGCCACAAGCGUACAUCCCCUUUCCCAGACUGGAGUGCAGGCGGGAACUGCGUGGUUUGCCCGUAGUAUGACGUGUGAGCUUUGCAAUGUUUGUAAACUAAAGUCUCACGUGACAUGGGGAACUGUGACUCCGCCAGAGACGUCGAAAGAGUGCAAGAUCUGCCUGCCAGGAGAUGGGUGGCGUAAAAACAGAUUUCCUAGAAAUAAGAAGAGGCCCAUGGCUUUUUUAAAAAAAAACAAAAAAAAACACACAGCCGAAAAAGCAGCAUAAAAAAAAUCCGCAUGGCUAUUUAUACUCCUGCUUCGGUCUUGGUACAACCUGUUACUUAGGCUGCAACGCAUUAACCCUCUGCAGCAGCACUAAAGUUGGAGAAACAGCGGACAAGGUCGUGCCAGCGAGAGGAUAACUGAAACGCAGGAUUCCCAGAGAAGAGAGCAGACCAUGUGGUUUCUCUACCAGCCUUCGGCGCGGCUGCCUGAAUCUGUGGACUGGACUAUAUGAGCAGAUGGAGCUGUCAGCAUGUUACACACACAAGUAGCUAUGCUAGAAUGUCACAAAACAGAAAUACUGCACCUUGACUUGAAUUCAACAUACAUAGUUGUGAUAGACAGAUACAAAAUAAUACCACAGUUAACAAUCGAAAGGGCAGUUUAACAACAAAUUACACAAUCAAUUAUUACUGUUGCUUAGGUUCCAAAUGGGAAAGGAAAAUAUUAGUUGUUAUAUUGGUGUAUUAACCAAGUUUGGUAGAGAUAUCUCUGGGAGUCAUUCCCAUCUGCAGUCUGUACAUAUAGGUGCAGGGAUAUCCAUGGAUCCACUGAUACCGACAUACAAAAUACCCAUCUCACUAAUUUAUAUAUUACAUUUUAAAUCUAUACAUAAUAAUAUACCAGAAUAGCAGGACUGGCUUCCAUUCAGCAGAGCGGGCAUUUAAAGGGGACCCCGAGCCUCUAAGUGGAGCCCCAUUGGUUAUACAAUGUUGUAUAGGAUAUCAAAAAGUCCACAGCUUUACAGAAUACAUUUAGAUAUUAGCUUUACCAACCUUGGACCCAGCUUCACUACAAUUUGAAAUCAAAGGCUAUUGGAGGGGCGGAAGACACCCAUUGAUCCUUAUUUGCCCCAUCUUCAAUCUGGGCCACCAGCCACAAUUUCUCUGGACAUGCCCAUUGGCACUUAGGCAGAGUAUCGCUCUGAACAUUGAAACAGAAGCGCAUGGCGUUUUGGAGGCUGGCACGGCACCGCUACAUGCGGGUUAACUAUAGAGGGUGGUGCAGCAAAGCCUUUAAAUAACUCUAAGUCAGAGCAGGAUUUUAACAGCGGAAAAGUUAACCAGUACAUAGCCAGUGCUGAAGCCUGCGCCUGUGGAGUUAAACCAAAAGAUUAUGAAACAGGAAACCUUUCUCAGAAGGAUGCAGGGUGUGUGUUACACAAGAACAAUAACCCACACCCAGCAUUUAAACUCCAAAUGGAAAGAAUUGACAUGUGUAUGCGCAUCAGUUGUGACAAUCCUAUGCCACUAUGUAAAGAUAAUGCCAAAAGAUCUGCUAUUUACAGGCCAGGUUUUAACAAGGAAUCCCUGAAGCAAGGACAACAAGGCGAACAAGUGGAUCUUGGUGACCUAAAAUGAACUAGGAAUUAAAAAAAAAAAA